rnacentral:lncRNA from 1 species
AUGGCAGGGCCCAAAAUAUUUCACCCAAAUGCAAAACAGAGAUGUCAUGCAGAUCGCUGCAAGACGUGCAUCACCGCCCUGCCGCAUCAAACUCGGAAACCCAGAGGCAGUUCGCUCUGCAGCACCCCUCGCUCGGUUCUUAAAAGUUCAGGCGCAUCAUCGCCUUUUAACCGGGCCAGGAUCUGGUUUCAGACCUGCCAGCGUAUUGCCUCAGCAACACCUCCCUGUGCUCCAGACUUGUCCCCAGUUGACCUCCAUCCUGUUCAUUUCUAUCACGUUUUAGGUUAGUGAAUGUCUUCUCUAUGAGACAGUUGAGAUCUUCACAGAAGAUCUCCAAUGAGAUGAGGGUAAGUUAUAAAACCCAAGUCUGUUAAUGCCAAUUACUACUACUUGU